rnacentral:tmRNA from 1 species
GGGGGCGAUCGGAUUCGACUGGUUCUCCGCGGGUGCAGGUUGCGUGUCGUGGUUGAUCAGUUGGCCACGUAAAAAGCUGAUCAAAACCUAACUGCCAAUAACAACAAGCAGUUUGCCCUGGUUGCCUAAUUAGGCUUCCCCAGUUGAGGAAUCCCCGUCUGAGGAGUCCGAAAGCUGGUCACAAAAUCAGACUGGCUUCAGGUCAACGGUUGCUACGCCUGAAGUAAGAUUUGUGGCGACCUGGCUGCCGAAGGGUUUGUCGUUUGUCGCGACGGCAGCGAGGAGCGGAAACAAGCGUCUACGCACGUAGAAGCCGCAUUUCAGGGCUCUCAGGACGCGGGUUCAAUUCCCGCCGCCUCCAUAA